GACGAAGGGGGCUAGCGUUGUUCGGAAUUACUGGGCGUAAAGCGCGUGUAGGCGGUUGUUCAAGUCAGGUGUGAAAGCCUUGAGCUCAACUCAAGAAAUGCACUUGAUACUGGAUGACUAGAGGACCGGAGAGGAUAGUGGAAUUCCCAGUGUAGUGGUGAAAUACGUAGAGAUUGGGAAGAACACCAGUGGCGAAGGCGGCUCACUGGACGGACUGUUGACGCCGAGGUGCGAAAGCGUGGGGAGUCAAACAGG
rnacentral:rRNA from 1 species